rnacentral:rRNA from 1 species
GAAGCUGGAAUCGCUGUAAUCGCGGAUCAGCACGCCGCGGUGAAUACGUUCCCGGGCCUUGUACACACCGCCCGUCACACCAUGGAAGUCUGCAAUGCCCGAAGCCGGUGGCCUAACCACUUAUGUGGAAGGAGCCGUCUAAGGCAGGGCAGAUGACUGGGGUGAAGUCGUAACAAGGUAAC